GAUGAACGCUGGCGGCGUGCCUAAUACAUGCAAGUCGAACGCAUAGCGAAAGGUGCUUGCACCUUUCAGGUGAGUGGCGACCGGGUGAGUAACACGUGGACAACAUGCCUCAAGGCUGGGGACAACAUUUGGAAACAGAUGCUAAUACCGAAUAAAACUUAAUCUCGCAUGACACAAAGUUAAAAGGCGCUUCGGCGUCACUUAUAGAUGGAUCCGCGGUGCAUUAGUUAGUUGGUGAGGUAAAGGCUUACCAAGACAAUGAUGCAUAGCCGAAUUGAGAGACUGAUCGGCCACAUUGGGACUGAGACACGGCCCAAACUCCUACGGGAGGCUGCAGUAGGGAAUCUUCCACAAUGGGCGAAAGCCUGAUGGAGCAACGCCGCGUGUGUGAUGAAGGUCUUCGGGUCGUAAAGCACUGUUGUAUGGGAAGAACAGCUGGAAUAGGAAAUGAGUAUAGUUUGACGGUACCAUACCAGAAAGGGACGGCUAAAUACGUG
rnacentral:rRNA from 1 species